rnacentral:rRNA from 1 species
AUGGCCGCUGGAGACGGCGAGCCGGUGCUACAGUCAAAGAGCGUGUGCGUGGUUGGUGGCGGCAUGGCCGGCCUAGCGGCGGCGCGCGAGCUGCGGCGGGAGGGUCACGCCGUCACGGUCAUGGAGCAGAGCAGCGACGUCGGCGGGCAGUGGCUGUACGAUCCCAGGACCGACGUCGAGGACCCGCUCGGCGCUGUAGCGCCGGUGCGCGUGCCCAGCAGCAUAUACUCGUGCCUCCGCCUCAUCAGCCCGCGGGAGGCCAUCGGCUUCUCUGACUUCCAGUUCCUGCCCAGCCAAGGCGCCGGCCGUGACCCGCGCCGCUUCCCCGGCCACCGCGAGAUGCACUGCUACCUCCAGGACUUCUGUGACGCGUUCGGACUCAUGGACGCCGUCAGGCUCAACACCCGGGUCCUGCGUGUCGCCCUCGCGGCCAUGUCGACGUCCAAGGCCAAGGCAACACAUAGGUGGGCGGUGAGGUCCGUGCGGCGUCUCCACGGCACGGAUGAAUAUGAUGAUGAUGCGGAGGAGGACGAGGAGUUGUUCGACGCCGUGGUGGUGGCUACCGGCCACUACGCGCAACCGAUGCUCCCGAGCGGCAUCCAGGGCAUGGGGGAAUGGAGGCGCCGGCAGCUGCACAGCCACUCGUACAGGACGCCGGAGCCGUUCCGCGGCGAGGCCAUGGUGGUGGUAGGGGGCGGGGACAGUGGCAAAGACAUUGCUUUGGACCUCUGCCACGUCGCCAGGGAGGUGCACCUCGCCGCCAGCUCCGAGGUCGCCACGCCGGCCAUGUUGAGGAUGCUGGCCAACCACGGCGACGUCUUGCGCCUGCACCCGCGGAUACGCCAGCUACAUGCGGACGGGCGCGUGGAGUUCGCCGACGGCUCCUCUGUCGUGGCCGACACGGUCAUCUACUGCACGGGGUACGCCUACUCGUUCCCUUUCCUAGACACGGGCGGCGCAGUCACCGUGGGGGACAACGGCUAUGUCGUCGGGCCGUUGUUCGAGCACGUGUUCCCCCCGUCCCUGGCGCCGACGCUCUCCUUCGUGGGCGUGCCGAGGAAGAUCCCGAUCCCAUGGUUCUUGGAGGUGCAGGCGCGGUGGGUCGCGCAGGUGCUGUCCGGCCGCCGCGAGCUGCCGCCGGAGGAGGAGAUGCUGCGGUGCGUGGAGGAGAACCUCUGCGCCAGGGAAGCCGCCGGUGUGCCAAGGAAGCUCACGCACAACAUCGGUGGCAUUGAACCUCACGCAAUAUUCGAGUUCGGGGAGAAGUAUUGUGACAUCGCACCGCUCGAGGAGUGGAAGAAGGAGCUCAUGGUGUCCAGCGUCGUGAGCAUGAUGGACGACGUGGAGACCUUCCGUGACCUCGCCAAUGACAGCGAGAACGUGCACAAGGGCCUGCAGGAAUGGCGCUUGGGUGCUGCUGCUCUGCUCAAGGUCAAGCAAAACCGGCCAAUAACUACUCCCGUAGACACUGAAGGUGAUGGCCUUUAG